AUUGAACGCUGGCGGCAUGCCUUACACAUGCAAGUCGAACGGCAGCAUGGAGGAGCUUGCUCCUCUGAUGGCGAGUGGCGAACGGGUGAGUAAAGCAUCGGAACGUACCGUGUAGUGGGGGAUAACGUAGCGAAAGUUACGCUAAUACCGCAUACGCACUGAGGUGGAAAGCAGGGGAUCGCAAGACCUUGCGCUAUACGAGCGGCCGAUGUCAGAUUAGCUAGUUGGUAGGGUAAAGGCCUACCAAGGCGACGAUCUGUAGCGGGUCUGAGAGGAUGAUCCGCCACACUGGGACUGAGACACGGCCCAGACUCCUACGGGAGGCAGCAGUGGGGAAUUUUGGACAAUGGGGGAAACCCUGAUCCAGCCAUGCCGCGUGAGUGAAGAAGGCCUUCGGGUUGUAAAGCUCUUUCGGCUGGGAAGAAAUCGCACAGGCUAAUACUCUGUGUGGAUGACGGUACCAGCAUAAGAAGCACCGGCUAACUACGUG
rnacentral:rRNA from 1 species